rnacentral:lncRNA from 1 species
AACAACAGUGUGCUGUGUUCUGAAGGGAAGAGUCUGACAGGAAUGGGUAUGGUAGGCACUAAGGUUAAGGUUCACCAGGGUAGCAUGUGCACUGGCAAGCAAGAGCCUGCGGUUAGGUAGAACAGUGACUGCUGCAAUUAUCUGGGUGUGAGAGGAUAAGUAGUCUGGACUUGGAUGGUGGCAGUAGGAAUAGAGAGGAAGGACUACUAAGGUGAACACCUUUAGAACCUGGUGACUGACUGUGAAGGAAACGGAUAAGGUAAAGACAAUCUUCUCUCGCUUCCCCCUUGAAAUCACGCCGAGUUUAAUUCUGUAGCCCCAAGUGAAGAACAAUUAUUCCCAGCAGUACUAGGACCUGCCUACAAAUAGGAGAGCUUGGAAUAGAAUUAUCUGCUCUGAACACACAACAGAAUCCUUU